rnacentral:lncRNA from 1 species
UCUGCAUUUCAUUUUUAGCAAAAUAGAACUUCUGAAAUGAUAUUUCUCGUGCAUCUUUCUCCUUUUCUAAAUGUUUGUUCUUUUCUGUUCUAGGUACUUUUCUUUUCUGUAAUUGCUUUAGUUGGUAUUGGACUAGUCAAUGGCUUAGUAUUCUUCCCAGUGCUGUUAUCUUUAAUUGGACCACCAGCAGAGGUCAUUCCUCUGGAGCAUCCCGAUAGGAUGUCAACACCUUCACCAGAGCCUGUGAAGAAAAUUAGGCACGUCAAGUGUCGGACUGCUCCGCCGCCGAGGAGGCAUUCCUCGAGGGAACACAAAGAGCAGCCGCAAAAUACGAUGAAAGAACCCUCAUUGACCACGAUCACAGAGGAACCUGGCUCGUGGCAUUCACAAACGCAUGAGACCAUUUUCGUGCAACCAGAAGUGGUUGUUGAAAUAACAACAUGCACCCAUCAUCAUGUCGUAACGAAAGUCAAUGGUGUGGGAGAAACAACAGUGACCUCGACCACAAACACGACAACAAGCUGA